rnacentral:rRNA from 1 species
UGGGGAAUAUUGGACAAUGGGCGAAAGCCUGAUCCAGCCAUGCCGCGUGUGUGAAGAAGGUCUUCGGAUUGUAAAGCACUUUAAGUUGGGAGGAAGGGCAGUAAGCGAAUACCUUGCUGUUUUGACGUUACCGACAGAAUAAGCACCGGCUAACUCUGUGCCAGCAGCCGCGGUAAUACAGAGGGUGCAAGCGUUAAUCGGAAUUACUGGGCGUAAAGCGCGCGUAGGUGGUUCGUUAAGUUGAAUGUGAAAGCCCCGGGCUCAACCUGGGAACUGCAUCCAAAACUGGCGAGCUAGAGUAGGGCAGAGGGUGGUGGAAUUUCCUGUGUAGCGGUGAAAUGCGUAGAUAUAGGAAGGAACACCAGUGGCGAAGACGACCACCUGGGCUCAUACUGACACUGAGGUGCGAAAGCGUGGGGAGCUAACAGG